rnacentral:rRNA from 1 species
AUGAACGCUGGCGGCGUGCCUAAUACAUGCAAGUCGAGCGAACGGACGAGAAGCUUGCUUCUCUGAUGUUAGCGGCGGACGGGUGAGUAACACGUGGAUAACCUACCUAUAAGACUGGGAUAACUUCGGGAAACCGGAGCUAAUACCGGAUAAUAUUUUGAACCGCAUGGUUCAAAAGUGAAAGACGGUCUUGCUGUCACGUAUAGAUGGAUCCGCGCUGCUUUAGCUAGUUGGUAAGGUAACGGCUUACCAAGGCAACGAUGCAUAGCCGACCUGAGAGGGUGAUCGGCCAGCCUGGGACUGAGACACGGUCCAGACUCCUACGGGAGCCAGCAGUAGGGAAUCUUCCGCAAUGGGCGAAAGCCUGACGGAGCAACGCCGCGUGAGUGAUGAAGGUCUUCGGAUCGUAAAACUCUGUUAUUAGGGAAGAACAUAUGUGUAAGUAACUGUGCACAUCUUGACGGUACCUAAUCAGAAAGCCACGGCUAACUACGUG